AUGGGGCUUUUGGUACCUAAAAUUAUUUUUUUCCUUUUAAAAGUUAUAGUAAUUUUUAAAUUUUGGAAAUUUAAAAUUUUGGAAAAUAAAAACUACAAGUACACUUAUAGUAGACUCCCUUCCUUCCUUCCCUCCUUCCCUCCCUCCCUCCCUCCCUCCCUCCUUCCUUCCCUUCCUUUCUUUCUUUCUUUCUUUCUUUCUUUCUUUCUUUCUUUCUUUCUUUCUUUCUUUCUUUCUUUCUUUCUUUCUUUCUUUUCUUUUCUUUUCUUUUCUUUUCUUUUCUUUCCCUCUUUCUUUCUUCCUUUCCUUCUCUCUCUCUCUCUCUCUUUCUUUCUCUCUUUCUCUCUUUUCAGGGUCCCACUCUGUGGCCCAGGCUGGAGUGCAGUGGCAGUAUUAGGGCCCACUACAUCCUUGACCUCCUGGGCUCAAACAAUCCUCUCAGCCUCCCAAGUAGCUGGCACUAUAGGAAUGAGGCCAACAGCAAGAUCUGGAGAUGGAAGAGGCUCCUGAAGAUGUUGAAACGCCUGGUCCCAGUUGUUCCGUGGGCCAGCUGGAUUCCUGCCGUUCUAUAGCUGUAUUGCUCAAUCCUUCCCUGGGAUCUGGGAGCAAAUAAAUUCCAUUUUUGGCCCAAGUUAGUUCAAGUUCAGAUUCUUUUCCACCAUAACAGUAACAAAGAGUCCUAACUGAUUCAACAUUAAACAGCUGUAUUCUUUUUUAAAAAGCUUGCUUGUUUGUUUGUUUGUUUGUUUUAGAGACAGGGUCUUGCUCCAUUGCCCAGGCUGGAGUACAGUGGUGGGAUCAUAGUUUACUGCAGCUGGAACUCCCGGGUGCGAGGGAUCCUUCUCCCUACAAGGGAUCUUUCCUGUAGUUGGGACUACAGGCGUGCACCACAACGAGCUAAAUAUUUUUACAAAUUUUUUUAGAGACAGGUCUUGUGAUGUUGCUCAGGCUUGUGUCAAACUCUUGGCCUCAAGCCAUCCUCCCACCUCAGCCUUCUGAGCAGUUGGGAUCACAGGCAUGAGCCACCUCGUCCUACCCAAUAAAGCUUUGUAAAAGAGUCAGUCACGGUGGCUCUCACCUAUAAUCCCAGCACUUUGGGAGGCCAAGGUGGGAGAAUUCCUUGAGCCU
rnacentral:lncRNA from 1 species